GGUAGCAUAAUCAUUAGUCUCCUAAUUAGAGGCUUGUAUGAAUGGUUGGACAAGAUGGGAACUGUCUCAAUGCAAAAAAUAAAAAUUAAUAUUUAAGUAAAAAAGCUUAAAUGUUAUGGAGGGACGAUAAGACCCUAUAAAGCUUUAUAAUUAUUCUUUUUUAUAUUAGUUAGUAGAAUGUAGUUUAUUAAAAAGAAAUGAUUAUUUUACUGGGGCGGUAAAAGUAUAUUUUGAUCAACUGCUUUUGUUUUGUAAAUCAAUUAUAAUUGAAAUAUAAAUUGAUCCAUUAUUAAUGAUCAUAAGAACAAGUUACUUUAGGGAUAACAGCGUAAUUUUUCUUGAGAGUUCUUAUCGAAAGAAAAGUUUGCGACCUCGAUGUUGAAUUAAGGAAGCCUUAAGGUGUAGCAGUUUUAUAGGCAGAUCUGUUCGAUCUUUAAAUCUUUACAUGAUUUG
rnacentral:rRNA from 1 species